AUUGAACGCUGGCGGCAGGCCUAACACAUGCAAGUCGAAUGGUAACAGGAGACAGCUUGCUGUUUCGCUGACGAGUGGCGGACGGGUGAGUAAUGUCUGGGAAACUGCCUUAUGGAGGGGGAUAACUACUGGAAACGGUAGCUAAUACCGCAUAACGUCGCAAGACCAAAGAGGGGGACCUUCUGGCCUCUUGCCAUCAGAUGUGCCCAGAUGGGAUUAGCUAGUAGGUGGGGUAACGGCUCACCUAGGCGACGAUCCCUAGCUGGUCUGAGAGGAUGACCAGCCACACUGGAACUGAGACACGGUCCAGACUCCUACGGGAGGCAGCAGUGGGGAAUAUUGCACAAUGGGCGCAAGCCUGAUGCAGCCAUGCCGCGUGUAUGAAGAAGGCCUUCGGGUUGUAAAGUACUUUCAGCGGGGAGGAAGGGAGUAAAGUUAAUACCUUUGCUCAUUGACGUUACCCGAAGAAGAAGCACCGGCUAACUCCGUG
rnacentral:rRNA from 1 species